UACGUAGGGUGCAAGCGUUAAUCGGAAUUACUGGGCGUAAAGCGUGCGCAGGCGGUUGUGCAAGACCGAUGUGAAAUCCCCGGGCUUAACCUGGGAAUGGCAUUGGUGACUGUACGGCUAGAGUGUGUCAGAGGGGGGUAGAAUUCCACGUGUAGCAGUGAAAUGCGUAGAGAUGUGGAGGAAUACCGAUGGCGAAGGCAGCCCCCUGGGAUAACACUGACGCUCAUGCACGAAAGCGUGGGGAGCGAACAGG
rnacentral:rRNA from 1 species